rnacentral:rRNA from 1 species
GGCGGUUUGUCGCGUCUGCUGUGAAAUCCCGAGGCUCAACCUCGGGCCUGCAGUGGGUACGGGCAGACUAGAGUGCGGUAGGGGAGAUUGGAAUUCCUGGUGUAGCGGUGGAAUGCGCAGAUAUCAGGAGGAACACCGAUGGCGAAGGCAGAUCUCUGGGCCGUAACUGACGCUGAGGAGCGAAAGGGUGGGGAGCAAACAGGCUUAGAUACCCUGGUAGUCCACCCCGUAAACGUUGGGAACUAGUUGUGGGGUCCAUUCCACGGAUUCCGUGACGCAGCUAACGCAUUAAGUUCCCCGCCUGGGGAGUACGGCCGCAAGGCUAAAACUCAAAGGAAUUGACGGGGACCCGCACAAGCGGCGGAGCAUGCGGAUUAAUUCGAUGCAACGCGAAGAACCUUACCAAGGCUUGACAUAUACGAGAACGGGCCAGAAAUGGUCAACUCUUUGGACACUCGUAAACAGGUGGUGCAUGGUUGUCGUCAGCUCGUGUCGUGAGAUGUUGGGUUAAGUCCCGCAACGAGCGCAACCCUCGUUCUAUGUUGCCAGCACGUAAUGGUGGGAACUCAUGGGAUACUGCCGGGGUCAACUCGGAGGAAGGUGGGGGAUGACGUCAAAUCAUCAUGCCCCUUAUGUCUUGGGCUUCACGCAUGCUACAAUGGCCGGUACAAAGGGCUGCAAUACCGUGAGGUGGAGCGAAUCCCAAAAAGCCGGUCCCAGUUCGGAAUUGAGGUCUGCAACUCGACCUCAUGAAGUCGGAGUCGCUAGUAAUCGCAGAUCAGCAACGCUGCGGUGAAUACGUUCCCGGGUCUUGUACACACCGCCCGUCAAGUCAUGAAAGUCGGUAACACCUGAAGCCGGUGGCCUAACCCUUGUGGAGGGAGCUGUCGAAAGUGGGAUCGGUAAUUAG